rfam:Trypanosoma theileri isolate Edinburgh TM35_Tth_28_V1, whole genome shotgun sequence.
GGGUACGACCAUACUUGGCCGAAUGCACCAUAUCCCGUCCGAUUUGUGAAGUUAAGCGGCCACAGGUCUCGUUAGCACGGCGAUCGCUUACAGUGGUGGAACCCGGGGUGCCGUACCCU